UCUGUAGGAAGGGCAUCAAGGUGAGGGACACCACUCUGUAGGAAGGGCAUCAAGGUGAGGGACACCACUCUGUAGGAAGGGCAUCAAGGUGAGGGACACCACUCUGUAGGAAGGGCAUCAAGGUGAGGGACACCACUCUGUAGGAAGGGCAUCAAGGUGAGGGACACCACUCUGUAGGAAGGGCAUCAAGGUGAGGGACACCACUCUGUAGGAAGGGCAUCAAGGUGAGGGACACCACUCUGUGGGAAGGGCAUCAAGGUGAGGGACACCACUCUGUAGGAAGGGCAUCAAGGUGAGGGACACCACUCUGUAGGAAGGGCAUCAAGGUGAGGGACACCACUCUGUAGGAAGGGCAUCAAGGUGAGGGACACCACUCUGUAGGAAGGGCAUCAAGGUGAGGGACACCACUCUGUAGGAAGGGCAUCAAGGUGAGGGACACCACUCUGUAGGAAGGGCAUCAAGGUGAGGGACACCACUCUGUGGGAAGGGCAUCAAGGUGAGGGACACCACUCUGUGGGAAGGGCAUCAAGGUGAGGGACACCACUCUGUAGGAAGGGCAUCAAGGUGAGGGACACCACUCUGUAGGAAGGGCAUCAGGGUGAGGGACACCACUCUGUAGGAAGGGUAUCAUGGUGAGGGACACCACUCUGUAGGAAG